AUCAGCCUGCGUUGUACGAUACCUUGUUAUUUUGAACCUACAACUCUGAUUCGGGAGACUGAUUAUGCAACAAAUAAUGCCGGGCCUCAAUCUAAUUCGCUUUGCGCAGUGGAGGGCAAACAUUCUAGCUAAGUCACCCACCUAGCUAUGCUAGGGCAUCAAAAUUGCAAGAACGUCUAGGCGGGUUAACG
rfam:Epulopiscium sp. SCG-B10WGA-EpuloA2 SCGB10WGA_A2_51, whole genome shotgun sequence.